rnacentral:rRNA from 1 species
GAUGAACGCUGGCGGCGUGCUUAACACAUGCAAGUCGAACGGAAAGGCUCCUGCUUGCAGGGGCACUCGAGUGGCGAACGGGUGAGUAACACGUGGGUGAUCUGCCCUGCACUUCGGGAUAAGCCUGGGAAACUGGGUCUAAUACCGGAUAGGACCAUCGUUUGGUGUCGGUGGUGGAAAGUUUUUUCGGUGUGGAAUGAGCUCGCGGGCUAUCAGCUUGUUGGUGGGGUAAUGGCUUACCAAGGCGUCGACUGGUAGCCGGCCUGAGAGGGAUUCCGGCCACAUUGGGGCGGAGGAAGGGCACAGACUACUACGUGAAGCAGGAGGGGGGAAUAUUGCACAAUGGGCGCAAGCCAGAUGCAGCGACGCCGAGUGGGCGAUGACGGCCGUCGGGUUGUAAACUCCUUGCGCCAGGGACGAAGCGCAAGUCACGGUACCUGAUUAAGAAGCACCGGCUAACUACGUG